rnacentral:rRNA from 1 species
AUUGCACGCUGGCGGCAGGCCUAACACAUGCAAGUCGAACGAGUGGCGGAAUGGUGAGUCAUGUCUGGGAAACUGCCUGAUGGAGGGGGAUAACUACUGGCAACGGUAGAUAAUACCGCAUACCAUCAGAUGUGCCCUGAUGGGAUUAGCUCGUGGGUGGGGUAACGGCUCACCAAGGCGGCGAUCCCUAGCUGGUCUGUGAGGAUGACCAGCCACACUGGAACUGAGACACGGUCCAGACUCCUAUGGGAGGCAGCAGUGGGGAAUAUUGCACAAUGGGCGCAAGCCUGAUGCAGCCAUGCCGCGUGUAUGAAGAAGGCCUUCGGGUUGUAAAGUACUUUCAGCGGGGAGGCGUUACCCGCAGAAUAAGCACCGGCUAACUCCGUGCCAGCAGCCGCGGUAAUAC